ACGGGAGGCAGCAGUGAGGAAUAUUGGUCAAUGGGCGGAAGCCUGAACCAGCCAUCUCGCGUGCAGGACUACGGCCCUACGGGUCUUAAACUGCUUUUAUGGGGGGAUAAAGUCGGGCAUUCGUGUCCGUUUGCAGGUACCCCAUGAAUAAGGAUCGGCUAACUCCGUGCCAGCAGCCGCGGUAAUACGGAGGAUCCGAGUGUUAUCCGGAUUUAUUGGGUUUAAAGGGUGCGUAGGCGGAGGAUCAAGUCAGUGGUGAAAUGGUGCGGCUCAACCGUAGCAUUGCCGUUGAAACUGGUUUUCUAGAGUGCGAAUGAGGUGGGCGGAAUGUGUCAUGUAGCGGUGAAAUGCAUAGAUAUGACACAGAACACCGAUUGCGAAGGCAGCUCACUGGGACGCAACUGACGCUGAGGCACGAAAGUGCGGGGAUCGAACAGGAUUAGAUACCCUGGUA
rnacentral:rRNA from 1 species